UUCUUCUUCAAGCUGCUGCUCUGAAGAACCCUAGUUCAGCAACAACUUCAAACCCUUAUGACCAGAUCGAUCACAGGACCACCAUUAAUCUCUUCACUUCUCAAGACCCAUCUCGAAUUCAAAAGCAAACCCUAGUCUCUUCUUCAAAUGACUUCUUCUUAAUCAAGAGCACAAAGUCAUCAGUAUCAGCUUCAGACCCCCUUUUACAAAAUCGAUUGAACCACAGCAACCCUAGUUCGAUGUGCAGGGUUUUUCAAGGUUGAACAACUUGAGUACUUUGAAGAAAGAUCUAUGUUGGAUGUUGUUUUUAUCAAAUUCCAAUUCAGAUUGAGUGGAUCUUUCUUCUCACUGCCACAGAAGUGUUUUUGGUGCUGUUAGUUGUGGAAAUUAUCAUAAGAAUGAGGUAGUGAUGAAAGUAAUUCAUCCAGAACAACAGACGGGAAUCUUAUUUUGAUACUUUAGUUAACAUGUUUUUUUUUUUUUGAUUUGGUAGUACAAGUUAUUACAAGGAUUGAUGAAUUUUAGUGUUGGUUUUGUAAUAUUGUAUAUUUAAAUUGUUAGUGUUAGUGCCAAUUUAGAUGGUGAUGUUAUAAUUUGAAGUUAGCCCUAGGUAUUGUUUCUUCUAUGGGAGACUUGUUUAAUUUUUUUUUUAUUUCUUUUAACUUUUUAUAGUUUAGCAAUGUAACAUCUCUUGUCCAUUUGUUCACAAUUGAUAAUCUGAAAUACUCUAAUCAAGAGAUGCUACUCUCCUUCUCCACUGGUAAUUGAUCAAGGAUUUCGAAUGUAACUGUGCAUACCAUGAAUGAAUCGAGCAGCACCAAGGUGCUAGUAACCAUCUGUAAGACCCUUUGACUCUAUUCUCAGCAAAGCGAAGAAGCUAUAAGAAGGAGCUCAAUGCAACCAGGAAAAACGCACCUCUUGACACUAAAACAUAUGUCCAUCUAGUGUUGGAUAAAAAGACUGAUAGAAGAGAAAAAGGGGUUAUUUAUUUUAGAUUUCGACGAAGAGUGCGAAAGAGGGUAGUGAAGUUUCGAAGAAAUUCAAGAUAUGCCGGCUCAUAGCAAAGUUGUUAUUGAGGAAUUUGCGAACAAGUAUCCGGAAGGGGAAUUUGCGAACAAGUAUCGAGGAAGCUGUUAUUCUGAUAUGCAACACAGUUCUAGCACAUGUCUAUUAAACAACAAAAGGUGACGAUGGAUUCAGGAAUCAGCAAAAGCUUAUGUCAUGGGCUGUCUAUAGUUGGUGCUGGUGGUGCCUCAUCUGUUUGAUUUUUGUGAUGAAUGGGUGGUGGUGGUGGUGAUGUAGGUAAAGGUUGGAGGAAAGAGUAUCACUUUCAAGAUAUGCCCAUCGGACAUGUUCCUUUCCUGGAAAUUGCAUGAUCAACAACAGUUACCGUGGACAUCUGAUGACGGCAUUCCAGGCCUAAGAGGUCAGCCGUCUGGUUCUUGCUUAUCAUGGAGCUUAUCGGAAACUCUUUGCGGAGCUAAAGGUUUUAUUUUUCAGACAACAGAUAAUGUGUUUCUUUAUUAGCUUAUGAUACUUGUAUAUAUUUGUAUCUCCUGAAAGUGAGUUUCGGGAGGUUGAGCACGAACAAUCUUCGCCCAAACUACGCACAGUGGUCGUUCAAAGGCUGCUUCAGUCACAAGGAAGAAGGAUUAGGGCUGGUCUUAGGGAGGGAAGCAGAUGAAGAGAGAGAUCAGAGAACAAGUUAUUGCUCUGAGAGGUUAUGAGAAAGAUGAUCGUAGCUUGGAAAAUAGAUGACCUAUUUAUAGCUGGAUUCUCUAAUCUCAAGUCGGUGAAGAUAAGGAUUGCUUUCCGUGCCGUGCGGAAUAAUUCUCCCGUCUCUUCAGGAAUAGAGAUAAACUUGGUUGAGUUUAUCUCAUUAUUCCACCGCCUUUAUUAUCUUCCGCGGUGAUAAAUAAGCCGGGUAUUUCUCACACGUGUCGUAGACCGCCAGAUCAAAACCCUAAUUGAUAUCCCCCCAUUUGUGUGAAACUGAAUCAGCCUUUGUGAUGACGUAUUUGAGAGAGAAAUAUUCUCUUUAGCCGAGUUGGCCAAGAUAGAGAGAUAUUCUAUGAUUUGUGAGAAUGACUAGGAUGAGUCACAUGAAAAGGAAUGAAAUUCCUCAGGAAUCGUGUGCAAAGUGUCAGAGGAGCUGAUGCUGAUCUCCCUCUCUCCGUGGCCGGUCACACAUGUCAUGUAAAACCAUAUUAUUGUUUGUAGGUCACUUUGUUAAGCAUGUGGUGCUCAAGAGAGCCUAUCCACGUUUUUGGA